UGGCGGACGGGUGAGUAACGCGUAGGAAUCUGUCCAGUAGUGGGGGACAACUCCGGGAAACCGGAGCUAAUACCGCAUACGCCCUACGGGGGAAAGCGGGGGAUCUUCGGACCUCGCGCUAUUGGAUGAGCCUACGUCGGAUUAGCUUGUUGGUGAGGUAAGAGCUCACCAAGGCGACGAUCCGUAUCUGGUCUGAGAGGACGAUCAGCCACACUGGGACUGAGACACGGCCCAGACUCCUACGGGAGGCAGCAGUGGGGAAUAUUGGACAAUGGGCGAAAGCCUGAUCCAUCAAUGCCGCGUGUGUGAAGAGGGCCUUCGGGUUGUAAAGCACUUUCAGUAGGGAAGAAAAGCAGAGCGCUAAUACCGCUCAGUGCUGACGUUACCUACAGAAGAAGCACCGGCUAACUCCGUGCCAGCAGCCGCGGUAAU
rnacentral:rRNA from 1 species